rnacentral:rRNA from 1 species
AGUGAACGCUGGCGGUAGGUCUAACACAUGCAAGUCGAACGGCAGCACAGUAAGAGCUUGCUCUUACGGGUGGCGAGUGGCGGACGGGUGAGGAAUACAUCGGAAUCUACUUUUUCGUGGGGGAUAACGUAGGGAAACUUACGCUAAUACCGCAUACGACCUACGGGUGAAAGCAGGGGAUCUUCGGACCUUUCGCGAUUGAAUGAGCCGAUGUCGGAUUAGCUAGUUGGCGGGGUAAAGGCCCACCAAGGCGACGAUCCGUAGCUGGUCUGAGAGGAUGAUCAGCCACACUGGAACUGAGACACGGUCCAGACUCCUGCGGGAGGCAGCAGUGGGGAAUAUUGGACAAUGGGCGCAAGCCUGAUCCAGCCAUACCGCGUGGGUGAAGAAGGCCUUCGGGUUGUAAAGCCCUUUUGUUGGGAAAGAAAAGCAGCAGGUUAAUACCCCGCUGUUCUGACGGUACCCAAAGAAUAAGCACCGGCUAACUUCGUG